UUUCUUUAAUCAAUUUCUAGGGAGGAACACCAACAGGAAAUAGCAGACAGUUAGCUCCAGAUACGUAUCCAGUACAACAACCAGCAUCUGCUAGACCUCUUUCACCACCUGUUCCUGCAUCGACACCUCUCAUAGAUGAGAAGCAAGAAGAGAAGAUAGCACCAAAAGACACUCAACCAUUGUGAACACAUUUUUUUUCUUUCUUUUUUUUACUUGUUUAAUCUCUCAGUAUUGAACGUGACUUUCUUCGAUCCAGGUGUUCAACAGUAUGGUGGGUGUGUAUGUAUGUUAACAGUGUAUGCACAAACGUUUCAUUUGUCCUGUUUUAAAAUACAUGAAUUCAAUGGUACUUGGGUAAAGCAAAGAUGUUUUAUUUGUACAGUACAAUGAUUCCAUCUUCAGAAUUAGCUACGUUGUUGCAUCACACUCGUUUGUUUUAAUAUAAUUAAUGGUCUUUAAUUUAAAAUGGGGCUAUCUACAGCAGUCAUCAUGAUGAUAGCAAAUUAAAAUAUGGUAUGGGAAUCAUUUUGAGAUAAACCGUACAACAAUGGAAUUAUGAUAUUGAUUCGGUGCUAACAGUUAGAAUCAGAAAAGUCAUAAGUCUGAUAAUAAAAAAAAAAUGCUAGUUGAUUUUGUAGUAGUAGUAGUCAUUAGAUACAUGUUGUGUAAAGCAAGGUUUUUCUACCAUUCAGUAUAGGUUCAUGACUGAUGGCAAAUGUAGAAACAGUAAAUGUACUUGUGGAUUUAAAAUCUUCAUCUCAGAGGUUUAAAAUUGUUUAUUAAUAAGUGAAUUUGUUAUUCUUUGAAGUGUUUCAAAAUAUAAUCCAGCUACUAGUUUUCUUAAAAGUGAUGCUUGUCAGGUGUAGUCCUGACUGUAUUAACCUUUAAGUAAUCUCAGAAUUUGUUCAUGAUCGUUGAAGUCUUACAAAAUGAAAGCAAAAAAAACAUUUUCAGUCAAUAUUAAAGUUCAACUAUCUAACAUUAAGUUAGGUUUAAAUGAGGAAAACAAACUGUCGAACUUAGCCUCAAAUCUCUCUGUUCGAAGCAUAUUAGACAUUAAGUGUAUAUGGUCUCGUGGAAGAGUCGUUACUUUAUUAGAUGUGUAUUAAUUUCUUCCUGUAUGUUGCCUUAUGUAAAAUAUUUGGGCAACAUGUGGCGUAGUGCUGAGCUGUCCAUGCUUCAUGUUCCAUUACUGCCAGAAAAAGGGAUAAAGUUACACUUCACAUUUUGGGGCCAUGGGUGUAAUAAUAUAAGAUAAAUGAUCAGAUCUUACUUCUUAAAUUGUAGCCCAAGAGUUGGCAGUGGGUGCUGUUAACUAGCUGUCUUUUUUCCCAUCUAUCAGUGUAAAAAUUAGUGAUGGCCAACGCAGAUAACUCUUGUGUAGCUUUGCGUGCGUGUUGCUUUGUGCGAGACCGCUUUGUGGUUUGAUGGCUUUACGGAGUAAGUGCUUUGUGAAUAUUUGAUAAUUUAGUGUCCCUAGUUUGACUUUAGUUCACAUUUUGCUUAAACAAAUAACUAUAUAUUUGUAAAGGUCGAUAGAAUAUAUUUCACUGUGUUCUUCACUGACAAUAUUUACCGUUUCUUGUGUUAUGAUUCUGGAAUGAUACAUCCAAUGACAGAGGCAGCUUUUGCAAAUUUGGCUAGGAUAUAUUUCACGUGUCUCUUUUAAAUCCCAAUAAGUAUUGUUUUUUGUGGCAGAAUGUGGAUGUUUAUUAUUAUUAUUAUUAAAAAUAUAAUAAUAUCAGAAAUUGAACAUGGACUUUUUCAGCACUUAAAGUCAUCUGUUGAGUUGUACCAUUUAGCUCUAAACAACAGCAGCAUUUUUCUUAACUCUUUUUCUGUGAAACCAAGAUAGAAUUUGUUUAGAAGUUGAACACAGUAUUCCAUGCUCACAGAAAGUUAACAUUAACCUAAUAAACACCAUUGUUUCAUGCAUGUUGCCCUUAAAACCAGUUGUUUGUAACAAGUGUGUUAUUAGUUAAGUUUUGUUCGUGUAUGGAUUCAUGUUGAGAAAGUUGAUUGCACAUUAAUUACAUCUAAGAAUUUUGUGUACUCGCAGAGUUCUACCAUAUAUACUAGAGAGCCAACUGUAAGCAUGCCGAUAUACAGACCAAUCGUGGACGCUGUUGUCUCGCAACUUGUGUCAAUAAUGUGUCACGUAACACAGUGAUAGAGUAGUGUAUAGGUAAUGGUUGUAAUGAGUAUGAAUGUUGAAAUAACUUGUAAAAUACUUUGGACAGGAAAGGCCUAAAACUGUAGUUUUAAUAUCAUUCAUAACUUUGGUUGUAACAACAGACAUAAUGAAAAUACAUAGUACAAGCUGUCAUUUUUACAUGAUAAUUCUAUUUGUGUAAUAUUAAGAGCCUGAAUUAUAAUUCUUGAAGAAAGACUGAUCUAAGAAGGAAAUAAAAUAAGGUUACCAGUUUAAGUACUUUACAAGUUCUUUCAAAACGUACAUUCAUAACACAACUAUUAUUGUUAUGAUAAAUGCCAUCACAUGCAUAAUAUAGUUGUAUACACAUAUUUUACCAAACAACAGUACGGUGAUCAUCUGUUCUUGAUUACAUUCACACCAUAUGAUCAUGGUUAGUUCUAUAGUUGUAAGUACUGUGAAUGUACCAUGUUAGGCUUAAACAAUUGCUGUUAGGCUUAACUAACGUGCAAGUUUUAAAUCAUUAAAUACUGUAAUACUAAUUGUACGAUCAUUGUUCAGUGAUCUCCUUAACAUAUUUUGUUUAUUAGAUUCAGGGUUCCUAGAAUGUUCAAAAUAAUUUGAAUUUUUUUUUUUUUAAGUCGGUAACUAUCGUAAAACACAAUUGUAAAUAUUCUUCGCGUUCGUCCUUGGAGAGUGCCAUGUUUGUUUAAGUCUGAAACGGAAAGAGCAUGGUAUUCUAAAUAUUGAUUCCUGACAUUUAGUACAUGUUGUACAUAGCGUAGUGAAAGAAGUCAAUCAUUAUUAAUGAUUUAUUAUGAUUAACACCAAAGCUUUGAAGUAUUGCCCUAACUAAAAUAUUAAUCUAUAUAGUCUCUAAGUGUGCUAUUGUCAUAAAAUAGGUAGUUUUGUCGUUAGAAGCUUAUUGUUUAUCAGGUAUUAUAGGUGGAUUAUCUAGCAAUAUUUUAUACAUAUAUACCCUCUUGAAAUAUUUGGUUAGCUUCUAUGUUCUCUGUACGUCUUCUUGUGUAUACUUGUUCGUGCUUCCAGCCUACAAACGUUUUAGAAAAGAAACCGGAAUGAAAGUAGUUAUAAAGUGUGACUUUUGUAGUGUUUACCUUUACAGAAUGUUUUUUUAGUUGAAGGGUUAGAAACGGUGCCAGUUAGUAGCAUAUUUUCAAUUUUUUAAAACAAACCUGGAAAUAUACUGUUAAUAUCGGCAUAAAAAAAAUGGCUUUUGUUUUAUAAUCCAAGUUGGAGAGAUAAAAACUAUUGUUUUAUAAUCCAGGUUGGAGAGAAGAUAAAAACUAUUGUUUUAUAAUCCAGGUUGGAGUUAUUUUUUUGCUAAUGUCUAAAUAAUCUUUUGAAAAGUGAAUUUUUUUAAAAAUAAACAAAUUCGAUUAUCAGUUCACUGUUUUUGAAGGAGGACAGAUGAUGUGUGUAUAAAUACCAUAUACAUUGUGUCUGUGUAUAUUUGAUAAAGUCAUCCAAUUGGAUGUAUGAACAUUGUAAAUCUUUCGGAGCUGAAAAUGUUUAUAAUAUUCAGUUACUUGUGUGACCUGGUUAAUUAUGUUUAUCAUGGUUAAAUGAUUAAACAAUAAUCAUAGUUAAGAUAUGAGAUUAAAGAUAUACAUAUGGUUUAAAGAUGACAUUAAUUAAGAUAUGAGAUUAAAGAUAUACGUAUGGUUUAAAGAUGACAUUAAUUAAGAUAUGAGAUUAAAGAUAUACAUAUGGUUUAAAGAUGACAUUAAUUAAGAUAUGAGAUUAAAGAUAUACGUAUGGUUUAAAGAUGACAUUAAUUAAGAUAUGAGAUUAAAGAUAUACGUAUGGUUUAAAGAUGACAUUAAUUAAGAUAUGAGAUUAAAGAUAUACGUAUGGUUUAAAGAUGACAUUAAUUGCACACUUAAAUAAGCUUUUGGUUGAGAUUUGUUAAAAGGUAUUCAUUAUAAAGUUUCUUCAUUGUCACCACUCCUCCAGACCAAAGUAAGAAUUAUCUUCCUCUGUAAAAUGUCACUCACUGGAUCUUGAUUUGUAUUAAGAACCAGUAACGAAGGUAAGUAGCAUGAAACCAGAAAUGUUCUUCUGAAUCUUCUAACGUGUUUUGAACUUUCAUGGCUAUUUAUGUAAGUAUUUAAUCUUAUCUCAAAAUAUUUCUGUUCGGAUAAAUGAAACCAUAUAGAUAUUAGCUUGUAAUUUUCUUUAUAAAGUGUUAAUUCGAAAAUAGUGGAGCUUUUUUUAUCAUAGGUGGCUCUGCAUUACAUGUAACUAAGAUUCUUUUGGUGUUGCACCAUUCCUAUGAAUAUUUUGUUUUUAUUUGUGAAGAAGUCAAAACUGAGACUGAAUGAUACGAAUAUUAAGCCGAUUGGCUGCUGCUGCGCCCCCCAGUGGCACAGCGGCAUUUCUGCGGACUUGUAACGCUACAAACAAUCAAACAAAUUGGCUUUUGCGACUCAAACUGUAGAUUGUUUUAGUUUUCACCGAAGUGCUUAUUAAAGGUAGUCAUCUUUAGAGAAAUUGGUGACUGGUACUUACUGGUUUCUAAAGACACCAUAAGUAGCAUAAUAUAACUUCUUUCAGAGCUUUUUGGCCCAUAACUUUAUUUAAAAUAAUAUUUUUUUUUAUAAGUGUUUGCUAUGUUACCAGUUUUUACCGACAGAGAGAGAAGAAAACCAUUCUUUUUUUAAAAGAUCUAGACAUGCAUAAUAAUAGUUUGAAGAUACUGUUCUUAUGAGACUUUUUUUUUAUCACUGCUGGAAUAUUUAUUUUCUUUUUUCGUGGUUUUUGCUAUAACUUGCCAAGAUUUUCACCAUAGUGUCUUCAGCUUCCAUCAUUUCUGACACAAUUUUAUACAGGAGAAAUUGUCUGUCACGUGAUAGGCACACUGUAUUUGUUUUUCUGGUACACGUGACUGUUUUAAUAAGUGUUUUAUUUUGUAAGAACUACGUAAAGAGAUUGGACGUUAAAUAAACUGUCUUUUUGUUUGAAUUGAAA